UCCAAGGACACAGAAGGACUUUGCAUCGAAGAUGAAUUCCAUACACUGUGUGAUUGUAAUAGUGGCAUUUAUGACAGGUGGUGAGGCACAGACAUUAUCUGAGUCAAAAUCUGUAAUAAUUAAACCUGGAAGCUCUCAUAAACUCACCUGCACCUACUCUGGGAUAAGUGAUGAUAAUGCUGAUAUAGCGUGGGUAAGACAACCUCCAGGCAAAGGACUGGAGUGGGUGGCGUUUAUAUCAGCACCAAGUGGAGCUAGCAAGUACUACUCCAAAUCUGUAGAAGGAAGGUUUACUAUCUCCAGAGAGAACAGCAUGGAUCAGGUUUAUCUGCAGAUGAACAGCCUACAGAGUGAAGACACUGCAGUGUAUUACUGUGCCAGAAAGACACUGUGACAGAAGUGUCUGGAGAGAUGUACAAAAACACACACGGUGAAAAGAGGGGCACUGAA